GGGUCGGUAGCUCAGCAGGCAGAGCAACGGACUCUUAAUCCGUGGGUCGCGGGUUCGACUCCCGCCCGACCCA
rnacentral:tRNA from 2 species